rnacentral:tRNA from 1 species
UGUUCUGUGGCUCAGUUAGUUAAAGCACCGGUCUAGCGAAUAUGGAAUCGUGGGUCCAAAUCCCACCAGAACGC